rnacentral:rRNA from 1 species
UACGAAGGGGGCUAGCGUUGUUCGGAAUCACUGGGCGUAAAGGGCGCGUAGGCGGCCUUGUAAGUCGGGGGUGAAAGCCUGUGGCUCAACCACAGAAUUGCCUUCGAUACUGCAGGGCUUGAGACCGGAAGAGGUUAGUGGAACUGCGAGUGUAGAGGUGAAAUUCGUAGAUAUUCGCAAGAACACCAGUGGCGAAGGCGGCUGACUGGUCCGGGUUCUGA